UGCAAAUUUUGGCUUAACAAAGCUGACUGAAGUAGGGAGUACUUCGCUGCCCACACGUCUUGUGGGUACAUUUGGAUACAUGCCAUCGGAAUUGAUUUAGCAAUGUUUGGUGGUGAAAUAUCUAGAUGUUAUAUUGUUGUUAAGGAAAAUUCUCAUGGCAAGGUGCAAGAAUUUGACCUUAAGGUGGUAUGAAUGAUUUACUCGUAAAAGGGCCAAAACAUUAGAUAGGCAUAGGCUCAAUACAUGAGGUUUGCAAUGUUUAACUAUUUGUGGGGCUUCUGGAGUAAAGCCACAUUUACCUCUAGCCUCUUGUAAAUCAUAGUCCAAAUUUUCUCAUUUUUUUAGCACUAUAAUACUAUUUGGUUUGGCAUUUAGCAAGUGACUCUGGUAAUUUUUAGGUUAAUCUUGAAUACCUUGGACGGGUUGUUUUCUACACAAAUGGCAUUUUGUACCCUGAUAGCGUGGUUGGAAUUGAUUCCCAUACAACUAUGAUUGUUGGCUUAGGAGUUGCUGGCUGGGGAGUUGGAGGAAUUGAAUCUGAGGCUACAAUGCUUGGCCAGGGAGGAAAUGACUUUGAGAUAUAUGACUCAGAGAGAACAGUGGGUUACACAGGUCAGCUUUAUAUUUCAGCUUCUUAUUGCAUUAUUAAAUACCAUGGAUUUUUCUAUUUCCAUGGCAUCUAGAGAACCAAAUGCAUCAUUAGUAUAGUGUCAUUGCAAAGAAAGCUCCAAUCAGACUUGGAUGAUUGCAAAACAGAAUGGAUCCACUUUCGAAAAUAAAUAUAAUUGGUGAUAUUCUCAUACAAUGCUGUAAAUGAUUUUUUACAUAAAAUAGAGUACUUGUUUUAAAUGCUAUGGAAAACAAAAUGGAAAAAAUGUUGCAACGUCAAAAGAAACAAUUUCAUUUGGAUAAUAAUCCUCGUUUUAAAUGAUGCAAUUGGGAGUUUCUAAACCCACCACACUCCCGCCAAGUUCAUCUCUACACCUAUAUCCACAAAUUUUUCUUUGUAACAUACAAGAUAUAGAAUGCAUAUAGUGAGUGUAGAGAGAAAAUAAGCGAGUGUAUUUAGAAGCUCCGAUGAAUUCUUUUCAUAAAUGCAGCCUCUGCUUCUU